UAUGAGUGGGUAUUGGCUUACAAAUUUGUGACUCAUAUUUUCGUAAAAACAUUAAUUUUGUCUCUUUUAUCUCCAUAUGCCUAAAAAGAGCAGAAGAAACCACACUUGAUCGCUCACAACCACGGAAACAAGUCUCCAUCACUGGCAUUAUUGAUCCGAGUCUCUGCUGCAGGAUUUACCCAGAGAUCCACAAACACCAUCACAUACAAGACAACAGCAACGCUCACGCGGCCAAGCUAAGCUAUUUCUGGAAAAACAUCCCAUUAGAAGAUCAGUCUGAGAUUCAUUUCAAAGCACAAGAUUCCACCGUGAUGAUGUCGGGUGUGGCAGAAAUAGGAGAGAGAGAGAGUAAAACAUUAACUACACUUCUACUGAAUGUUUGGGAGAUGAGGCGUGAGAACAGGUAUUUACAGACAGAGCCGCCACAUUCCAAGGAAGGUUGGGAAGUCUUGGGAAUGCCGAAAGCUGUGUAGCAUCCCGCUGAUCUCUGCAGUCGUAUCCGCUUGUGUAGCUGGACAUACAAAGACCUGCAGGCCGUCGAUCCAUGCAUACAUGCUGCCUUCAUAGUGCUCCUGGGAAAUGCUUAUUUAAAUCAUAAUUAUGAGUUCAAGAGUUAAGACAACUUUUAAAAACAGUUAAAUGAUAAUAAUGCUAAAAAAUAAAAUAAAAUAUACAAACAGUUUCACCUGUGCAUGUGUUAAAUCACACCCCACCUGCAUACGGUGGUGUGAAGUUAAGGCGGUAAUAGCGUAAAUACACUGAGAUAAUAAAUUGUUUUUUAAUUAGUUUAAUACAUUUUAACGUGUUUAAAUGCAAGAAAAGUGUAAAUAAGGAUUUAAAUUCAGAAGUAACUGUCAAUGCUAUAACUACAAAAAUAAAACUAAAAUGUGAAACUGAAAUAUAUUUUUAUAUGUCAAAAAACAAAGUGAUUCUUGUCUA